CUAGAUGUGUGUCAGUGUGUCGUUCUGUCAUGUUGCUGUUGUGAUGUAAAUUUGAGUCUAAUUUGAAGACAGUCCGUCUGGAAUCUAGCUGGAGAUUCAGGCAAACAUCAAGCUGUCAAAGAACACUUCACAGGCUGAAUGCUCUUUUGGUGGUUUAGAAUGAAUUUGUGUAGUUUUUGACAUUUGGACUGUUCACAGAUUGUUAAUAUUACAACUGUUGAAUGACUGACAUGCGGUGGUUUAUUUAAACAUGCUUGUCAUGAACAUGUGUCUCUAGUUUAUAACAAAUGACUUCUCUAAUGUAUUGCAAUGCAGCCUGAUCUGCUGGUCACUGUUGCUUCUGAAUUGAUCAAUGGGCUUAUAAACCCAUGUGAUGAGUGUUGAAUUUACUAGCUCAGUCCUUUAAAGGGAUACUUCAAAAAUAUAAUGCUGUCAUCAUUUACUCACCUACCAGUUGUUCCAAACCUGUAUAAAUGUCUUUGUUCUGAUGAACACAGAGUAAGAUAUUUGAAAGAAUGCUUAUAACCAGACAGAUUUUGCCCCCCAGUUUUGGAACAAUUAAAUCCCUUUAAGGUGUUUUUGUGAAUUUUCUUCACCCUCAUAAAGUACAAAUGAUAACCUCAAUAUUUCCCUCAAAUUAUAACAAAAAACAUAUGUGGAAUUGCCCAUUUGUGUUUACAUGCCUUGUGCUCUCACCACAUAAAGAGAAUGGUUUAUUAUUGACCUAAUGUAUUAUUGCCAUGAAAUGAAUGUCACAUUAUGAAAAUGCCUAAUGUAAUACAAAAUAGAAUGACUAAAUAUAAUUUAAAUGCUCAAAAAGGGAUGCAUAUGGUGAAUAACCCAGAAAAUGUUAAUGUGUGACACAACCAUGUGUUCAAACAGUCCAGUAUUUUGGUCUGAAACAACACAACAUAGUUUAAUUUACAACCCGACUCUUGGGUUUGUUCCUGUUUGGCCCAACUACGGUUGUGAUUUUAACCUUUGACCUAUCUUGAUUUGAUUUGGGGAUUUAGUCAUUGGUGUUGUUUGGAUAUGAGCUGUAGAUUUAUUCAGAAACAGAAUAUUAGAGUGAUAGGCACCUUUUUGUGUUGUUAGAUGGUUAAACUUUCCAGAUGGUCACAGCUCAUGCAUCACAACAUCGACGUCAGCAAAAGACAAGAGUUCAACACUUGGGUUUGUCGUUUGAUGUUCUUGAAUUUUGUGUGGAUAAAUAUCACUUUAUUUUACAGUAUAGUGAGUGAGGCAAACGUGUAAAGCUAACACAGUUAGGUGCCACCCUGGUUGUUUCUGUCUGGUCAGGUCCUGGGUCUGACCACAGUGGCGUUGCUAGGCCCUUUUUAAGGGGAGCUUAAGCCCUCCUAAAGUUCUAGUGUAGCCCCCCCAAAAUAUUGUGAGUAAUAAUGAAAUCUGUACAAGAAUUCGAGAUUGCUUUAUAGUCCCCUUUAAAACACUUAUUAUGAAAACUGCGUUAGACCGCGUAAUUGAGCGCAUUCUUCAGUUCACACAGCAGCACAUUGGAGUGAACGUCAUAAUCAGAGUAACGUUAUAAGGUGCAGCAUUAACAUGACAUCUGCGUCUUUGCCAUUCUGUGUUAUAAAUGCAUCUUAGUAUGAUUUGGAAGAGAUACAAGACCCUUUAACAUCCACUGUAAAAAUGUUUUGUCUACGUCCCCCCCUCGUUUACUAACGUUAGUUGUUUACGUAACCUCCAGCAAAAUGAAAGCAUCACUUCACACCAAUGAUGGCAUACUUUAGAAAAGGAGCAUAAUGAUAUUGUAGAGCACAGAAAUGUGUCAUUCAUGAUGAUGUUCUGUUUUAUUUUGCUGUACCUAAGUUAUAGAGAUUUGACGGUAGUUUUGACAGCACCGGAAAGACGAAGGCAGAUAGAGUUAUAUUACUGUAGUUAUUCAUUGUUCUGAGUUCCGAGGAAACAGAAGUUUACCUAGAAGGUCUUUGUCAUUUUUCGGACGCUGCAGUAUUUUUAUUAUUAAUUUAAAACAUAUUGUGGAUGUAAUAGAUGAACACGCAGUCAUGCACAGGAGUGACAGCGCUCGUGCUAAUCAGAAUGAACGGCAGGGAAACAUAUCAAGUUAUUCCUACUAAACAAUGAUUCAGCAGUUGAUUGUGACAUUUAUUAUAUGGAUUUGUUGCUUUUGUUAUCACUUUUUGUGUUAUAAAGGAUCAGAUUGACCGAUUAAUGUGAUAUUCAUUUGAAUAACAAUAACUUGUCUUUACGCUUUCCUGCAUAUUCUUUCUCAAUCAUUUAUUUUAUGUAUACAGUAUGUGGUGCAUAGAGUGUGUCUCUCUCUCUCUAUAUAUAUAUAUUCCAUUCCAUUCCAUUUUCUACCGCUUAUCCGAACUACCUCGGGUCACGGGGAGCCUGUGCCUAUCUCAGGAGUCAUCGGGCAUCAAGGCAGGAUACACCCUGGAUGGAGUGCCAACCCAUCGCAGGGCACACACACUCACUCAUUCACUCACGCACUUAUAUAUAUAUAUAUAUAUAUAUAUAUAUAUAUAUAUUUAUUUAUUUAUUUAUAUGUCCUCAUUGGAGGCUGACCCCCCCUGAUAUUGAAAACAUAGAAUCGCCCCUGUCUGACCACCUGCUUGCUUUCUUCGUUUCGUCUGUGUUUAGGUUUUGUCGAGCACACGGUGUUGUUGUGACAGCCGCCAUGUGUUCGGAGUCCGUGUGUGUGUGCCCCGCCCUCCUCGUUGUCCUCCCAUCACCUCACAGCUAAUCCUUCCACACCGGUUUCCUAUCUUGCUGUCUUGUGGAUUACUUGUGGAUUGUGUCUCGCUUGCCGAGUACCUGACUCCUGAGUUUCUACCCUAACAGUCUGAUGAGACUGACUGAACCGACUCUUUUCACAAACAUGCCAGUGACAUGUGAGGACAGAGAUCUUUCAGGUUUUUAAAGAAGGAAGCGACAAAAUUGCCUUUGGAGACAACAAAAUCUCAUUGGCGGUACAGUAUGCAUUUAAAUGAUUGACUUUGUCAAAACUCUGUGUCACUAAACUUCCUCUAGCAUCAAGAUUUUUUUCUCAACUGAUGUUAAACUCUUGUCAUUGUAUUUUGUUUUUACUCAACAUCUGCCUUGUCACUGGGUUUUUAACUUUUUACACAUUUUGUCACGACCCAGGUUGGGGGGGCAUUUGUCUGCACGUGGGUGUAUUGUCUUUGUCAGUGUCUGCGUCAUUAUCCCAGCCCCCGUGUUUCCUUAGGUUUCCCCAACACGGGUGAUUUUCCACUCAAUGCUCACACACCUGUUUAUUCCUCAUUAAGCUUAUUACCCAUUGCACCUGCUAGCCAUCUCCUCUUGUUAUGUUUUCCUAUUUAAUGCCUCAGUGUCUCUUGUCCGUUGUCUGAUUGUUGCAUUCUGCCAGUUCAGACUGAUCUAGGUGUUGCUGCGGCUCAUCUAUAGAACUCUUUUGCAAAUCUGUCUAGUCUGUCUAGCCUUUACGUUCCGGUCACAGUUUCCUAGAGUUCUCUCCACCCUUCCCCAUCUCGCUGACCGAGGACGGCCGUCUGGUGGCAUCUUCCUGUUGUGUUUUACCUCUUCUGGCAUUGUCCUCCAGCUCCCGUUGGCGCCCCAUAGGACUACUGCCCGGCUUCCUCCCGAUCACCCCACCCGAGUUAAAGGUGUCUCUCCCACCAUAGCUGCUGGGAUCUGGUGCUCUAUAUUCUGGCCGCCGUGGACGGGGGCAUUCACCAGCUGGACAAUUGCUGCAUUAUUGACUGUACACUGCAAAUAAAACAUUCUUACCCCCGCACUUGGGUCUAUCUUGUGUUCUGUCAUGACACAUUUAAACAUCUCCAUUAA